UCUAAGGCGCUGCAUAUAUUUAUUUGUAAUUCCAGGAUAUUACUAUAUAUUAUUACUAGUACUCGUGCUGUGAAUAAUAAAAAUUGCGUGCCUUACCGACCGCUUUUGAGAUGAACCGCUCGAGCGACGUACACGUUACCUCCGUGCCAACUCGGCGUGAUGCAGAAGUUGUGAUCGUAUCCCUCUCCCAGAGUUUUCCAGAAACUUUGGUACACGCAGAUCCAUGAUGGUUCCUCCGACUCCUCGGAUGGCGCCGGUUGGUACCGGAUCCGUGUAUUCUGCGAAGGUCCAGCGAUCGCAGUUCAACGAGAUCUUGUGCUUCAACAGUUCCUUCUUACCGGCGUCCUACAUUACAUUCGAACAGGUAGACGUACCGUGCGAUUCUUAUUAACACCUUAAACCCAGAACCAUAUCAUUUUCUAA